GCCUGCGCACUAAGGCGAGGCGGGCCUUCGGCGCCUAGCGGAGAGCAAGGCAACAGCAAUGCUGGAGGCCGACCGCGUGGUGGUGCUAGUAUCCGCAGGAUUCGAGCGGGGCCCUCAAUUUAGUUUUCCCGAGUUAGAAACUCGUGUCUGGCUCUGCUUGGAACCUAUCAGGUAAAGGUGCGGCUGCAGAGAUUCGUGGCAGGGCCCAGCUUGCGGCAGUAGCAAAAGGCGUUGAAGAAGCGGCAGUAGCACGUGGCGCACGGGUCGCAGCAAGGCACUUGUUGUCCCAGGCAGGACUCGUGCAGCCUUACACAGCGACGCGGAGAACGAGACUCGCGAUUCUGUGGAUCUAGCACCUGCAUUCAUAGAAAAACAAGAACGUCUGGCCGAACUUUGAUCAAGGACACCAAAGGGCCAGUGAGUGUCACCAGCCACGAGUGGAGUAAAAAACUAGACCCAAGGUUUCUUUGGAA